GGUUAUGCCACCCUGGAUGCUGAUCUCUUCCCAUCUCAGAAGCUGAGCUGGCUCGGGCCUGGCUAGUACCUGGGUGGGAAGAAAGCAUUUGGAGAAAUCCUGCCGACCC
rnacentral:rRNA from 1 species